rnacentral:rRNA from 1 species
UAGGGAAUCUUCGGCAAUGGACGAAAGUCUGACCGAGCAACGCCGCGUGAGUGAAGAAGGUUUUCGGAUCGUAAAACUCUGUUGUUAGAGAAGAACAAGGACGUUAGUAACUGAACGUCCCCUGACGGUAUCUAACCAGAAAGCCACGGCUAACUACGUGCCAGCAGCCGCGGUAAUACGUAGGUGGCAAGCGUUGUCCGGAUUUAUUGGGCGUAAAGCGAGCGCAGGCGGUUUCUUAAGUCUGAUGUGAAAGCCCCCGGCUCAACCGGGGAGGGUCAUUGGAAACUGGGAGACUUUAGUGCAGAAGAGGAGAGUGGAAUUCCAUGUGUAGCGGUGAAAUGCGUAGAUAUAUGGAGGAACACCAGUGGCGAAGGCGGCUCUCUGGUCUGUAACUGACGCUGAGGCUCGAAAGCGUGGGGAGCAAACAGG